CUCGCGGAUGAGCACUUUGAUAACAAUUUCAACUUAGUCGAGUCAGUGAUAGCUUUGAGAUUCAAAGCUGCCUUCGUAAAAGAACUAUCGCCAGCGUGGUCUCACCUGGACAGGCUUGAAGCGAGUUGCGCAUACCCAAGAAUCAGUGGCAAGGCCUCGCAAUGACGUCUGCAGUAGAAGAGGAUGAGCCUGGCAUCUCCAUUAAAGGCACGGCGCACUGCGCGAACAUUUGUCCUCCGAGCGUCACUGACUCGGCUCAACUGGUAAAGGCAUGGCUUGAAACCCGUCAGCACCUCGGGCUUUUGCUGAACCUCCCCUGACAAACUGACGUCAUGAGGCUCUGAAGAGGCAAGCUCCGCAUCGUGUGGGGUUCACGACAACGGCGUACAUAACGGCAUCAUCUGACCAGGGCGACUUUACCGACGACAGCUUCUAAUACAUUAAUGUGUGUUUAUUUAAUAUUCGACAUUAUUAUAUAAUCUUCAUAGAUAAUAUCACUGAUAUAAAUGCGCACUUAUGCAUAACGAAUAUAAUAAUUUUCGCCACGUGUAUUUGGUACAAGGGACGGAGACUAUCGUACACCAAAGUGCUUCACGGAGCACUCAGGCGCGGUAGUAUUUGUUUACGAGGAAUAUACAUCUUCUGUUUGGGCUUGCUGUAAAGUUCACGAUCACGAAAAGUUUUGCCUUAUUGGGAAAAAGUUGGAUGCUCUAACAUCUGUACGCAAAUACCUUAGACGCAGAGUGGAUAGUCUGGAUGGCAAAUUUGAAAAAUUCGGAUGUUAUCACUAGUUCCCCGACUGGUGGUAAAUGGUGGCUCAGGGAUUUAGAGUAUAGUUCGAGAUAAGGAGGUAAUAGGCAGGUUUCAUGCGAACGGUAACAGAUUGAUUAUUUUUAAAAUGAAAAGUAGACAUAGACGGGAGACAGAAGGUAAUAUAUCACUAAUUGACUCCAAGAUUUCUGAACGUUUUAUACUUUUGUUAAUAACUUCUCAUACAAUAAUAAUGUAAUGAUAAAAUUGUAACAAUAGACAAAAUGAUAGAAAAAUACCAUGACGACAUUAGCAAAAUUUCAAUAGAGCAUUAAAAUUUCAACUUCGAUCGACAUAGAUGCGCAUUUA